GCCGAUGUAGCUCAGUGGUAGAGCAACUGAUUCGUAAUCAGUAGGUCGUCGGUUCAAGUCCGACCCUCGGCU
rnacentral:tRNA from 1 species